rnacentral:lncRNA from 1 species
CUCAGUGUUCUACAGCAGUUACACACAGGCACUGGUAUCUGUGAGCAGCUCUGUGGACUCAAAGGUUUUCUCCCUGAGAGGCAUAACCCAGGCCAGCUGAUUCAUCAGAAUCAGGUCCCACUGUACUCAAGUCCUUUGGAAGAUGCCCACCCCUGCUUGAGACUUGAGACUCCAGAGACUCGAGCAGCUGUGGGCCACUGGGUCUGGCCCCUUUUUACCUGGGGGUGGCAGUGGAAUGGGGGUUACGCAGCCAGCCAGCAUCUGGGAGCCCGGCAGGAGUGGUUCAGGUGUUCUCCGAAGCUGUCAGGGACACCGAGCUGGGCUGCCAGAGGACAAGGGGCCUGAGCCUGUUGGAAUCUGCAGCGGCACUGAUCACUUUGGGAUUCUGCAGUCGGGCCAACCUCCUUUCCAGGGACAGAACUCCUCCCUGGCUCCCCUGCAGGUCCAGCCCGAGGUUGUUGUUAGGCCAGAGGUACGGGGCCCAUCUAGGGAGCCGGUGGGAAUGGAGACUGGGCUAGGUCAGGCCCCUGGGCUCUCAGCAGUUCUGUCGGCAAGUCAGCACAAGAGGAGCCGGGCAGUCUGA